GGGAGGGAGGAGUGACGCUAGGGUUUGGGUGGUUGCGAUACAGCGGAUCUGAAUAUUUGCACGAAUCAAGGUAACUUGGAAAAAACUUCCGGGAGAUGGAUGGGAUUUCCGGCUGUAUUUUUUUUUUAGGGGGGAUUUCCGGCUGCUUGCUGUGGUUACAGCGCCGGGGGUGUGGGCCGGCGCGACGACAGAAAUGGGUGCGGAGUUUGCUUG
rnacentral:lncRNA from 1 species